GGUCGGUAUCUGUGAAGCGCUCGCUCUGUGCAGAGCACUGUUCUAAGCGCUGGGGGAGAUACAGGGUCAUCAGGUGGUCCCACCUGAGGCUCACCAUCUUAAUCCCCAUUUUACAGAUGAGGGAACCGAGGCCCAGAGAAGUGAAGUGACUUGCUCACAGCUGCCAAGCGGCAGAGCGGGGAUUCGAACCCAUGACCCCCGACUCCCAAGCCCGGGCGCUUUCCGCUGAGCCACGCUGCACAGUUCGGCAACAGAGGCCAUCCCUGCCCGAUGACGGGCUCCUAGUUUUCCCGGAGGAAGAAGUGUCUGCGGAGGCUCCCAAGAUGAGGGAACCGAGGCCCGGAGAGGCGAAGUGACUUGCCCCCAGUCCCACAGCUGGCAAGUGGCAGAGCCGGGGCAGGCAGAGAGCGCCCCCGAGCUGCCCAUCGAGGAGCUCCCCGGGACGGGGCAGAUGAUAAUAAUAAUAAAGGUUGGUAUUCGUUAAGCGCUUACUCUGUGCAGAGCGCUGUUCUGAGCGCUGGGGUAGACACAGGGCAAUCGGGCUGUCCCACGUGGGGCUCACGGUCUGAAUCCCCAUUUUACAGAUGAGGGAACUGAGGCACAGAGAAGCUAAGUGACUCGCCCACAGUCACGCAGCUGACAAGGGGCAGAGUCGGGAUUCAUUCAUUCAUUCAUUCAUUCAAUAGUAUUUAUCGAGCGCUUACUAUGUGCAGAGCACCGGACUGAGCGCUUGGGACGAACAAGUCGGCCACAGAUAGAGACGGUCCCCGCCGUCCGACGGGCUCACGGUCCGAUCGGGGGAGACGGACGGACGGGGACGACGGCGACGGAUGGAGUCGGGGGGAAGGACGUCUCGCGAAAACGAUGGCGACUGAAUAGAAUCGAGGCGACGUACAUCUCGUUAACAAAAUAAAUAGGGUAAUAAAAAUAUAUACAGUCGAGCGGACGAGUACGGCGCCGAGGGGACGGGAAGGGAGAGGGGGAGGAGCGGAGGGAAAAGGGGAAAAAGAGGGUUAAGCUGGGGAGAGGUAAAGGGGGGAUGGCAGAGGGAGAAGGGGAGCUCGGUCUGGGAAGGCCUCUCGGAGGAGGUGAGUUUUAAGUAGGGUUUCGAAGAGGG
rnacentral:lncRNA from 1 species